ensembl:lncRNA
AUAUUGUUUUAGCUACAAAUACACAUAUGUUGCACUUGUCUUAUGUUUGCAUUAUCAUUCUUUCAUUAGAAUGGCCAUCAAUAAAAUUGGAGAUGUUGGAGCUGGUUAUCUUGCAGAAUUGUUGAGGACGAAUCGCACACUGACGGAUAUCAGACUUCGUGACAACCUAGUGACAGACAAAGGAGCAGAAGUCCUCAUGGCUGCCCUGAAAGAGAACACUACAUUAGAGUAUCUGUGGUUGUUUGACAACAAGUUUACCAAAGAAGGCGUCAAGAAACUGAAAGAAUUUGCAAAGACCAGACCAAACCUUGACAUUAAAGUUUGCAUCUGAGCCACAACCAACAAACCAGUGGAGUAGCUCCCUAAAACAUCAUUUGCAUUGCAGAACUGGUUCAUUUUCACUCACACAUUUUAUUCAUACAUUAUUUUACAUAUUGCUCUGAUAUAAUACUUUUAAUACAUAUUAGACUGUUAAAUGAAUAGCUCACCCAAAAAUGAAAAAAUGCUGAAAAUGCACUAAACCCUCAGGCCAUCCGAGAUGUAGAUGAGUUUGUUUCUUCAUUGGAACAGAUUUGGAGAAAUUUAGCAUUAAAUCAUUUGCUCACCAAUGGAUCCUCAGCAGUGAAUGGGUGCCGUCAGGAUGAGAGCCCAGCUGAUAAAGUAAUCCAAACGACACCAAUCCAUCAAUUAACGUCUUGUGAAGCAAAAGGCAGCAUGCUUGUAAGAAACAAAUACUUAAUUGCUGUGUGUUUUCUCUAUAAACAUAUAUUUCUUUAACCACUCAGGCUACUACUGCCCUCUGCUGGACUUUUAAGGAGCUGUCAUUUGUAUGCUACAUUUGUACAUUAAUCAGCAGUAAUAUUUUCAGAACUGUCUUAGGAUUCAUAGUUUGUGAAAGAACUGCUAUCUUUUUAUUUUGAAAUCUGUAACAGCUUUAGUUAAAACCAACACAAUCAGGUUUGACUAAAGCUAUAUGUGACAUUUUGGGGGCCCUAAAAUGGCUUCUUAACAUUAAUCUGUUCUUUUCGUCAUUCUUUAUAAAUUAUUGUCUUCUUUCUCUUUUCUGUUAUAGUGUCUCAGACCAGUUUGACAAUAAUUGUGCCACAGUCACUGGUUUAUUGCCCAUUGUUGUGGGUGAUUUUACCUGCAAAGCUCAGGGCUGCUCUUAGAAGCUUCAUAAACAGAAGUAAAAAUGUAAGUGUAAAAUACACAAAGCCAGAGUAUUCUAUGUUAGGUAAAUGCAUUUAUUUUAAAGUUACCAUGUGUAACCAUUGCUAAAAUCACAGUAGUGUAUAUUAAAAGCAUUUUAAUCAUACAUACUGAUAGAUAGAUAGAUAGAUAGAUAGAUAGAUAGAUAAUUUCUUUUUGAAGCAUUGCACACCGUCUUCUUUCUGAAAAUUGUAUAAAAUACGUUCAUGCAUUGUUAUAUCAUUAAUUGUCAUAACAUCAUGAAAUGUGAAUUGUUAUGGCAAGUAUUAUUGCUUAGCAAUGCUUACAAUGCAAAGUACAAGUGUUGUUAUGCAAUACUUAAAGCAAGAUGUGCAAAUAGAUGUUCAAUAAACAUUAUAUGGAUUCUCCAAAUUCCAGUUUGGUAAUGGAGUCUGUGGCUUGUCAUCACUUCAAAGUUCAAACCGUAUUGCGUCAGAAGUAUAAUUCCAUAUAUUGAUGCCUGCUGCCUUGAAUGCAAAAGCUUAUUCAUGUACAUUCUCACGUCUGUUGUGAUAAGUCUCAAACAUUGCCUAAGUUUAUUGACAUGCAAAAAAAUUGUUUCUACUGGUUCCGGAGUAAUAUUUAAUAUACUAAAUCCCUCAUAAAAUAGCCAUGUAUAUAGCUGCAAUGUAGUUGCUGAUUUAAACCACCAGAUGCCGACGCGAUAUUUUGUGACUCAUCCCUUUGUUCAGUUUAGUGCUUAGAAACAAUAAAAAGCUCUGAUCAUUUGUUCAGUCCCCCUGUAUAAUGACCUGUUAUUUUAUAUUUCUACUCAGUUAGCCUAUUUAUACAAUGUGAAUUAUCUGUGUUAUACAGACCACUAAUAAAUGCGACUUCAGAAGUUUGAAAAGAGCUGUAAAUCUGAUACCCAGAAAGGAAAGUGACAGGAGUUCCUUUUUCUUGGGAAAACCUUAAUGUAUGUCUCAUCGAGACAUCUGGCGAUUUCAGUAACGAUAUGUGACAAUAUGCUUUAAUAUGCUACAUAAGUCAGUCUUCCGGUGCUUUUUGAAGUAAUUGGUGAAUACCAGCUUGGCUACUAUUACGAGAAAUCAUGAAGUAUGAGGACGGCUUUGUUUUUUUUGUGUAUUAUGAAUGUUUAAAGGUCAUAAAAUCUAAUCUAAUCGAAUACUGUAGAAUGGUAGCAGGGACCACAACAGCACGCAAUACAGUGUGACAUGCGAAAUAUAAUGUGAAAUUAUUUAUAUAUAUAUAUUCGCCAAGCGGCGCUCUGAUUGGCUGGUCUCAUCUCUAGCUCAGGAGCCAGCCAAUGGGGAAGUUGGCUUGUUUGUGUGAAGCAAGCGGUGCAAAUAUAAAAUCGAGAAUAAGCGAUGUUGGAAAAUAAAUUGAUGUAUGAACAUAACCCAAAGAGUGAAAUCGGCACCAGAAGGCUGUUUAUACCUUUUCUACUCUGAAGACAGCCGAAGCGAGGAUUUGGUGAAGGAAAUAGGUAUACAUUUUUAUAAGGAUGCUCUGUUGUAAGUUUACCUGUUAAGACUGUUAUUGUAUAUUGACUGAUAUUGUAUUAGUAUUGUAUUAUUUCACGUAAUAAUUAAUGAAAAUUAUUUUUUUUUAUUUUAAACCGAUUAGAUAUUGUUUUUUUAAAAAAUAUAGAUUUUUCCCAACGAUUAUCAGAUUUCCACCAUUCUCUUGUAUUUUAUCAUAUCAAUGCAUGUUUUUGCGUUAUGAACUCUAGCUGAACUGUGUUUAAUUUCUAUAAAGCGGUGUAUUAGUUUUAUGCCGCAACUUUGCUCAAUGUCUACGGCAAACAGCUGCAUUACAUUCAACUUGCACUAAUAGCUUCGACAGUUGUUUAUUUCUGAAAAAUGCUUAAUGGUUGUCAUGUACGUAGCGUUUUAUGUUAUUAUUGUUGUUAUUCGGGCUCUUACAUUUGCUGUCAGAAACCGUGU